AGUGAACGCUUGCGGCGUGCUUAACACAUGCAAGUCGAACGAGAACGGGUUAUCGCUUGCUAUAAUUGUCAGCUAAGUGGCGCACGGGUGAGUAAGGUAUAGGAAAUAUGCCUCUUAUUCAGGGAUACCAAAAGGAAACGUUUGCUAAUACCUUAUACUCGUUAUUAACAUUAGUUAAUAAGGUAAAGAUUUAUUGGUAAGGGAUUAGCCUGUAUUGUAUCAGUUAGUUGGUGGGGUAAUGGCUUACCAAGACGAUGACACAUAACUGGUUUGAGAGCAUGAUCAGUCACACUGGUACUGAGACACGGUCCAGACUCCUACGGGAGGCAGCAGUGGGGAAUAUUGCACAAUGGACGAAAGUCUGAUGCAGCAACGCCGCGUGGAGGAUGACACAUUUCGGUGCGUAAACUCCUUUUAUAUGAGAAGAUAAUGACGGUAUUAUAUGAAUAAGCACCGGCUAACUCCGUGCCAGCCGCCGCAGUAA
rnacentral:rRNA from 1 species